rnacentral:tRNA from 1 species
GCUCUGUUCGUCUAGAGGCCUAGGACGUCAGGUUUUCAUCCUGGAGAUCGCGGGUUCAAAUCCCGCACAGAGUA